rnacentral:rRNA from 1 species
GGCAACCUACGGGAGGCAGCAGUAGGGAAUCUUCCACAAUGGACGAAGGUCUGAUGGAGCAACGCCGCGUGAGUGAAGAAGGGUUUCGGCUCGUAAAGCUCUGUUGGUAGUGAAGAAAGAUAGAGGUAGUAACUGGCCUUUAUUUGACGGUAAUUACUUAGAAAGUCACGGCUAACUACGUGCCAGCAGCCGCAGUAAUACGUAGGUGGCAAGCGUUGUCCGGAUUUAUUGGGCGUAAAGCGAGUGCAGGCGGGUCAAUAAGUCUUGU